UACGUAGGGGGCAAGCGUUGUCCGGAAUCAUUGGGCGUAAAGAGCGUGUAGGCGGCUCGGUAAGUCCGCUGUGAAAGUCCAGGGCUCAACCCUGGAAUGCCGGUGGAAACUGUCGAGCUAGAGUCCGGAAGAGGCGAGUGGAAUUCCUGGUGUAGCGGUGAAAUGCGCAGAUAUCAGGAGGAACACCGAUGGCGAAGGCAGCUCGCUGGGACGGUACUGACGCUGAGGUGCGAAAGCGUGGGGAGCAAACAGG
rnacentral:rRNA from 1 species